UAUUUGUGGUGCCUUUGGCAGCUAUACUUCUUUCGUUUUCUAUUGUCAUAGAAACAGUUGUAUGAGUUGCAUCUUUCAGAACUUGACCAGUGACAAUAGAAUUUCCUUGCAUCAGUUGUGUUAGCUAAGAAAGGUUUGUCGUGUUGUCCUCUUGGUGAGUAUGAGAAAAGAAGUGAACCUGCAGAAUUUGCAACUUGUCUGAAAAGUUUUGAUAUUAGGUUUUUGUGUAUAUGUUGCGCAGGGAGCAAUAAUGGCGCCACUUAUGACUACUGUUAUGAUUGCACUUAUAGAUUUGUAUGUUGAGUUUGUAUUGGAAGAACAGAAGGAAUGAGUAGAAAAAAAUCUAUAUGUGCAAUGUCUUGGCCUUUGAAGAAGGGCGCUGCCACUUUGCUUGAUGGAAAUACAUUGCAAUAGAAACUGAAUUCUUUUUUCUCCCAGUCAACUGUAUCCUACAUGUGAUAGGCUUUUAUUAUCCGUGUUGUGUUCUCCAAAAAUUGGGUUGAGGUUGUUUCUCAGUUGAUAGUGUGCAGGCAUGUGAUAGGCUUUUAUCAUCCGUAUUGUGUUCUCCACAAAUUGGGUUGAGGUUGUUUCUCUGUUGAUAGUGUGCAGAAGUUGCUAGCUUCUCAGGGACAGGUUGUGUUUCCAAGUGAUAAAGCAGCGUAAGUUGCAUGACUUCUGAAUCAGAUGCAUUUUCAAACCAUGAUACAUGCUAAAUUUGCUGCAGAAUUUCUUUUCUUUUGCUUUCCCCCAAAUAUUUUCAAAUUAUAAGAGAAGGAUGAAAUUGGAAGCGCCUCUUGGCUUAUUGAUGUUAUCGAUAACCGAAUCGAUAAGCCCCCAAAAUCGAUAAAUCGNNN
rnacentral:lncRNA from 1 species